UGGGGAAUAUUGGACAAUGGGCGCAAGCCUGAUCCAGCCAUGCCGCGUGAGUGAUGAAGGCCCUAGGGUUGUAAAGCUCUUUCAGCGAGGAGGAUAAUGACGUUACUCGCAGAAGAAGCCCCGGCUAACUUCGUGCCAGCAGCCGCGGUAAUACGAAGGGGGCUAGCGUUGUUCGGAAUCACUGGGCGUAAAGCGCACGUAGGCGGACUUUUAAGUCAGGGUGAAAUCCCGGGGCUCAACCUCGGAACUGCCUUUGAUACUGGAAGUCUGGAGUCCGAGAGAGGCGAGUGGAACUCCGAGUGUAGAGGUGAAAUCGUAGAUAUUCGGAAGAACACCAGUGGCGAAGGCGGCUCACUGGCUCGGUACUGACGCUGAGG
rnacentral:rRNA from 1 species